CUCCUUAACUCUUUACCCAAAGAAAGAUAAGACACAAUAACGCACACAAAAACCAUUCACCAGUCAGUCAGUCACACCCACGACUCGAGGCCACGAUCUAUGAGGUUCAUCUCUAUCUCCCCAGAAAUUUCUCCAGAACGCUAAACUACACUUUUCAUUCCCAAUUCGAACCCUCAAUAAAAAAUUUAGGGUUCCCUUUAAUCCAAAAUAGCCGAGUUCCCUUCAAUCCAGAAUUUGUCGAUUUCAUUUGCAAUUUUGCGGUUCUUCUUCUUAUUGGGGAUGCAGUCUAAGAGGAUUUUGAUGGAGCUCAAGGAGAAAGAUCCUCCUACUUCUCGAACUGAUGUCACAUUCAAACCUUAAUUACAAGCUGAUCUGAUUAAUCCUCUGGAGAGAAUAAUUCUGAUAGAUGAUGUUGUUCCAAUUCUAUAUUCUGGCAGUGAGUGGGAUAAGGAAGUUAAACAGCUAGGUGAGACACUCUUGGGCUAUUCUCUCAAGGAUUGUGAGUAGAGGCUAAUCAGUUGAAAGAGAUGUCAUGUUCAGGAGGCAGAGUUAUGGCUGGCCACUAUUAUCCAUGUUGUCCCGAGCCCAAGAAGACAGUUGGGAACUAGCUAGGGAUCGCGUCCCAUAUCGAUCCUGGCAUUCUCACACUGUUACUGCAGGAUCAAGUUGGUGUGUUGCAAGUUAAACAUGAGGGGAAAUGGGUUAUUGUCAAGCCAAUCCAAGGUGCACUUGUUAUCAAUGUUGGCGACUUACUUCAGCUCCUCUCGAAUGAUAAGUACACGAGUGUAGAACACCGAGCAUAUGCUAAUCCGCGAUCCUUGGCAUGAACCACGGGUCUCAGUUGUUGUGUUCUUCAACCCUGGCAUGAUGGAGAACUUGUAUGGAACGAUACCAGAGAUAGUAUCACCUGAAGAGCCUGCACAACCUUCAAAUUAUUCUAAUGAGCUGUUAGAGCAUGAGCUCUUUCUUGCUUCCUCGGUGCAAGAUUUCAACGAAGGUAUUCAUUUACAAAUGAUUCUAGCUUGUUAAACUUGAUUUCCCCAUAACAAUGAAGAAUAGAGUGCCUUGAUCUUGAAAGAUCGAGGGUUAUGUGCAGUAUAUGUGUAUAGUAUCUGUCACGUAUGAGACACAUAUCUUUUUCCCUCCCCAAUAGGUGUAUAGUAUCGAUCUUGUAUCUAGUCACUGCUCAGGUUAAGACUAAGACUUUAAACAUCAGGAUCAUAUUUAUAAGAUGAGGCCAGAGUAACAGAAAUUAUUCAAAUAAAAAACAAUUAUAAACAGAGUGAAAAGUACAUUUUCAGAAGGCAUAAGGAAAGGAGAGAGAGAACAAGAGUAGGCUGUAGAGAGUAGGGAGUAAUAGGGUGUGCAGAACCCUACAUAUAGUACAAUAGGAAUUAUCAGGAGAAUGUAGUUAAAAAAUUGAAACAGAAUUACUGAUUUCUGACUAGCUAGUGAUGAUGUGACGUUGACGGGGUCUGAUAGUGUAUGGAUCAAAUGUAUUACUGCAGUCUGUAGUCUGUAAUCUGUUUAUACAAUACGUGUUCUUGUAGCUUUUUCUCUUAUGUGAAUAAAAUUUGAUUGGUUGCCUUAUUUUAGUCUUCGUUCUUGUUAUGCAGAAUGAAUUAAAUGGUUAAUGCACUAAACAUCGAGUUGUGAGGAUGAAAAUUGUUGUUCAAAAGCUGGAGUUGAAACAGGUGCAAGUGGGUAUUAAUUCCUGUCCGGCACCUGUUUCAUCAGUAAUCGACAUUGGUUAAGUUUACAAAUUUGGGUACUUCCUGAAAGUUCAAUAUUCACUCAUUUUCUGAAAAACAGUGCAUUGAAUCCCUGGUCCAAUGUGUUUAUGUGGGUUAUGUAUGAUCUCAAGUGUUCCUAAAGAAUCUUAACCAGAAAACUCGCUAAUGAUCCUCUUUAGUUUCUAUGGUACAGGCUUCUAUUAGAAUACGGUUGAAUGAAAUAUCACUUGCUGAUUUUUUUAUACAUGUUACAUGUCUUUGCGAGGUUACAUACAGCUUUUGUAGCACCUAGCUCUCGUGUCUUUGGAAGAGGUGAACUUGUAUUAGAUAGGAAGGAGAUUGCUAUGAGGUAUAUCAGAUCAGGUUUCUUCAUUGAUCUCAUUGCAGCUUUACCUUUUUCUCAUAUACAACUAAUUCUUAGAUUUUUAUUACCAAACAUUAACAUUUUAAUGUCUACUACUUGUUAUGGAAAGAAAAUUGUUAUGUUUUUUCGCUGCAGAUUGUGAUAUUGUUUAUAAUUCCAGCAAUUAAGCUGUCUAAAUCAAGAAUUGAAGCACCUAUAAUGCACUCCAAUUGAUUGUUUUCUUCCAAUAUAUUCCACGGUCUUAUCAGAUAUUCCCUUUGAGUGUUGAGAUUAUAAAGUCGGCUGGUGUUGUCACGAAAACAGCCUGGGCAGGAGCUGCUUAUAAUCUCAUGUUCUACCAAGUGGAUACAGAUACAAUGUCCUCGGCUAAAGAAUGUCAUGGAUUCUUGAUAUUAUGUCACGAGAUACAUGAAAGAGAUCAUCGACCAUAAGCAAACUCGAAUAUUUGAAGAUGUAUGUAUUUUUCUUUAUUCAAUUAAGCCUAGACAUUAGUAUAUGCAUUGUCACUAAUUAUGUUAAUU